rnacentral:rRNA from 1 species
UACGAAGGGGGCUAGCGUUGUUCGGAAUCACUGGGCGUAAAGGGCGCGUAGGCGGCUUUGUAAGUCGGGGGUGAAAGCCUGUGGCUCAACCACAGAAUUGCCUUCGAUACUGCAUGGCUUGAGACCGGAAGAGGUAAGUGGAACUGCGAGUGUAGAGGUGAAAUUCGUAGAUAUUCGCAAGAACACCAGUGGCGAAGGCGGCUUACUGGUCCGGUUCUGACGCUGAGGCGCGAAAGCGUGGGGAGCAAACCGG